UACGGAGGGUGCAAGCGUUAAUCGGAAUUACUGGGCGUAAAGGGUGCGUAGGUGGUUAUGUAAGUUAUCUGUGAAAUCCCCGGGCUCAACCUGGGCAGGUCAGAUAAUACUGUAUAACUCGAGUAUGGGAGAGGGUAGUGGAAUUUCCGGUGUAGCGGUGAAAUGCGUAGAGAUCGGAAGGAACACCAGUGGCGAAGGCGACCACCUGGACUGAUACUGACACUGAGGUGCGAAAGCGUGGGGAGCAAACAGGAUUAG
rnacentral:rRNA from 1 species